rnacentral:tRNA from 1 species
CAAAAUAGUAAGUUAUAUUAUUUUAAACUAGUGAUUUUCAAAAUCACAUAAAAAGGACCUACCUUUCUAUUUU